UACGAAGGGGGGCUAGCGUUGUUCGGAUUUACUGGGCGUAAAGGGCGCGUAGGCGGUCGUGACAAGUCACUUGUGAAAUCUCCGGGCUUAACUCGGAACGGUCAAGUGAUACUGUCGGACUAGAGUACAGAAGGGGCAACUGGAAUUCUCGGUGUAGCGGUGAAAUGCGUAGAUAUCGAGAGGAACACCUGCGGCGAAGGCGGGUUGCUGGGCUGAUACUGACGCUGAGGCGCGAAAGCCAGGGGAGCGAACGGG
rnacentral:rRNA from 1 species